rnacentral:rRNA from 1 species
GACGAACGCUGGCGGCGUGCUUAACACAUGCAAGUCGAACGGAAAGGCCCUGCUUUUGUGGGGUGCUCGAGUGGCGAACGGGUGAGUAACACGUGAGUAACCUGCCCUUGACUUUGGGAUAACUUCAGGAAACUGGGGCUAAUACCGGAUAGGAGCUCCUGCUCCAGGGUGGGGGUUGGAAAGUUUCGGCGGUUGGGGAUGGACUCGCGGCUUAUCAGCUUGUUGGUGGGGUAGUGGCUUACCAAGGCUUUGACGGGUAGCCGGCCUGAGAGGGUGACCGGCCACAUUGGGACUGAGAUACGGCCCAGACUCCUACGGGAGGCAGCAGUGGGGAAUAUUGCACAAUGGGCGGAAGCCUGAUGCAGCAACGCCGCGUGCGGGAUGACGGCCUGCGGGUUGUAAACCGCUUUCGCCUGUGACGAAGCGUGAGUGACGGUAAUGGGUAAAGAAGCACCGGCUAACUACGUA